rnacentral:lncRNA from 1 species
CAAUUUGUUUUUCCCUCCCUCCUUAUGUGUAUUUGUGUGGGGCCCAGUCUCAAGGCUCAAGACCACUUGCACCAGCAGCAUGCAUCAGCAAGAUAGCAGAAGCAGGAAGAGAGCUGGCCGGAAGACACAUACCCUCUGAAGACCAAGAGAGAGGCCGUCCGGGUACUGCGUCGCAGUUACAUCAGAUUGAGACACUUCCUGUUUACAGGAGACUAUAAAGCCCCUGCCCCGACACCUUUUGGUGCUGAUGCCAUUUUAGGCCUCAGCCCGUCUGCACCCAG